GUCCACUGAAAGCUGCAAUCUGAUGGGGGUGGGGGGUGUCCCUUGCCGUGGCGUUUAUGUAACAGAUGGUAUCUUCUGGGCUGGACUGCGACCACGACCUCUUCCCUUCCCAAACGACCACGUUUCUGAGGAAGUGGUGAUUAGGUCCCUGAGGACCCGAUAAGAGAUGUGGAAGUGCGAUUGGGGCGACGCCUCCCGGGUCGCUCCAGAGACGGGACGGCAUGGAUGUUCCAAACAUAGAACCUCCGAGCGUGGCGAGAGCAGAUCGCUGAGGUCCAAACGUGUUCAGAGGAAACCGCCGCCAUCGGCACCAUCUGGGGUUAGCUUCUGUGGCUGCAGCUCUGAUUGGAUGAACCCACCUGGUCCAG